rnacentral:rRNA from 1 species
UACGGGGGGGGCAAGCGUUGUUCGGAAUUACUGGGCGUAAAGGGCCAGUAGGCGGCCAACUAAGUCCGACGUGAAAUCCCAAGGCUUAACCUUGGAACUGCGUCGGAUACUGGAUGGCUUGAAUUCGGGAGAGGGAUGCAGAAUUCCAGGUGUAGCGGUGAAAUGCGUAGAUAUCUGGAGGAACACCGGUGGCGAAGGCGGAUUUCUGGACCAGUUCUGACACUGAUGAGCGAAAGCCAGGGGAGCAAACAGG